rnacentral:rRNA from 1 species
CCUACGGGAGGCUGCAGUGGGGAAUAUUGGACAAUGGGGGGAACCCUGAUCCAGCCAUGCCGCGUGUGUGAAGAAGGCCUUUUGGUUGUAAAGCACUUUAAGCGAGGAGGAGGCUACCGAGAUUAAUACUCUUGGAUAGUGGACGUUACUCGCAGAAUAAGCACCGGCUAACUCUGUGCCAGCAGCCGCGGUAAUACAGAGGGUGCAAGCGUUAAUCGGAUUUACUGGGCGUAAAGCGCGCGUAGGUGGCCAAUUAAGUCAAAUGUGAAAUCCCCGAGCUUAACUUGGGAAUUGCAUUCGAUACUGGUUGGCUAGAGUAUGGGAGAGGAUGGUAGAAUUCCAGGUGUAGCGGUGAAAUGCGUAGAGAUCUGGAGGAAUACCGAUGGCGAAGGCAGCCAUCUGGCCUAAUACUGACACUGAGGUGCGAAAGCAUGGGGAGC